CUAACAAGGAUUCCCCUAGUAACUGCGAGUGAAGCGGGAAAAGCUCAAAUUUAAAAUCUGGCAGUCUUUGGCUGUCCGAGUUGUAAUCUAGAGAAGUAUUAUCCGCGCUGGACCGUGUACAAGUCUCCUGGAAUGGGGCGUCAUAGAGGGUGAGAAUCCCGUCUUUGACACGGACUGCCAGGGCUUUGUGAUGUGCUCUCAAAGAGUCGAGUUGUUUGGGAAUGCAGCUCAAAAUGGGUGGUAAAUUCCAUCUAAAGCUAAAUAUUGGCGAGAGACCGAUAGCGAACAAGUACCGUGAGGGAAAGAUGAAAAGAACUUUGGAAAGAGAGUUAAACAGUACGUGAAAUUGCUGAAAGGGAAACGCUUGAAGUCAGUCACGUUGGCCAGGGAUCAACCUUGCUUUUUUGCUUGGCUUACUUUCUGGUUGAUGGGUCAGCAUCAAUUUUGACUGGUGGAAAAAGUUCAAGGGAAUGUGGCAUCUUCGGAUGUGUUAUAGCCUUUGUUCGCAUACAUUGGUUGGGAUUGAGGAACUCAGCACGCCGCAAGGCCGGGUUUUUAACCACGUACGUGCUUAGGAUGCUGGCAUAAUGGCUUUAAUCGACCCGUCUUGAAACACGGACCAAGGAGUCUAACAUGCCUGCGAGUGUUUGGGUGAAAAACCCGAGCGCGUAAUGAAAGUGAAAGUUGAGAUCCCUGUCGUGGGGAGCAUUGACGCCCGGAUCUGACCUUUUGUGACGAUUCUGUGGUAGAGCAUGUAUGUUGGGACCCGAAAGAUGGUGAACUAUGCCUGAAUAGGGUGAAGCCAGAGGAAACUCUGGUGGAGGCUCGUAGCGAUUCUGACGUGCAAAUCGAUCGUCAAAUUUGGGUAUAGGGGCGAAA
rnacentral:rRNA from 1 species